rnacentral:rRNA from 1 species
UACGAAGGGGGCGAGCGUUGUUCGGAUUUACUGGGCGUAAAGGGCGCGCAGGCGGCGACAUUUGUCAGGCGUGAAAGCCCCGGGCUCAACCUGGGAAUUGCAUUCGAGACUGCAUGGCUAGGAUGCGGAAGAGGGAAGCGGAAUUUCCGGUGUAGCGGUGAAAUGCGUAGAUAUCGGAAGGAACACCAGUGGCGAAAGCGGCUUCCUGGUCCAGCAUCGACGUUCAGGCACGAAAGCGUGGGGAGCAAACAGG